UAAGGCCCUUAAAUGUAACAAAAAAGUGUUUAAAAGGUGCUUACUUUUGGUAAAUGUUAUUUGAAUAUGCAUCUGGUUUGCAUAAAUUGAUAUACUGGGAUAAAUUGGCAGAAAAUUGAACUUAUAUAAAUAUCAAUAACAUAUUUGGGAAUCUAUCUAGUUUCCCCAUAAACACGAUUUAAUAUAAAGCUUAUUUCCCUUUUCUCCUACAUGAUUUAUCCCCCUUUGAUGAUCUUCACAGAGGAGAUAUAGGCAACAUUAAAAAAAAAUUAUGGCGGAGAGCUAUCUUUGCCACGAGUUUUUAGUGUCAUUGUCGUGUUAUAUCAAUGGUUUAUCGUUAGGAAUCAUAAUAAAUGAUUGCAGAAGACGAACUUUGUGUAUAUUUAUCAGAUUCAGGUUGCAUUGAUCUUAAUUCGUACUCGAAACCUGUUGUUUUUGUUUACGUGAAUUGAAACUGAAAGUUAAACGGUGUUACACAGUGACAGUGUGUUAAACAUUUAAAACAACGUGUGUUAUUCUGAAUACACAUUCAGGGACUACGGAAAAAUAUGAGCGACAGAUCUCUGGAGAAAAUUUGUUGACAAUUAUUUCAGCAAUCGAAGUUACCGUUUAUUUUCCACAGGCACAGGCAUUUCCCCAAAUGGUAGGAGAAUUUUGAUAGAGAUUCUGCAUAUGACAGACUACAAUAUAUUAAGGAGCAGUAGCGAAGUUAUCAACCAUUGUAUUCUAGUGUCUGUAGGACAACUACACAAGGACUUUUUCAACAAUAAAAGCUGUCCACACUCAGCAAAAUGACUUGAACAUAAAAAGGCUAAGCAUGUAUAUGCCGAUACUUCAUUCAACAUGUUCCACUCAAAGGAAAUGCUGCCUUUGCUCAACAAUAAUGAGAGUAUAGCUGAAAGUACUGUAUUACUACACUUGUGUAAGAAUGAGUAAUUUUAGAAACAAAAUGUAGAAUCAGCUUCAAUUUCGAACAAAAGAACUUCGAGAAAGAAUUUUAACACAGAUAAAAUGGCAUGAACAAAGUCGAACCCUUUGUGGCAGUGGAGGAAAUGAGACUGUCGGGAAAGUUUACCAGACAUAAAAGCUCCUACUUCUCUCGUUUUCAUCAACUCGAAAAGACAACAGAUGUUGAAGAUUAUGACUCGGAUGUUAAAGAAGAUGGAAAGAAACUAUCCGGUCAAAAAGUUCUUUCAAGUCUCAAUUGACAGCACCCACUAAAGACAAAAUAUGACUACUUCCAUGGCUGACAAUUUAAAGUUAGCAGAAGAAUUAAGAAAUAAUUUAUAGCAAAACCGUUUUUUACUUCGUUUUUUUCACAGUGGGAGUUUUAGGUCAAGCAAGAGCAGUUAUUUCAUAUAACAUUUAACAGUCAGAUUGUAUAGUGUUUAAACACGUCUUGCUAGAAGUUAUUGCUAUUCUAACAUAUCUGGUAUGUAAAAGUUAUAUCAAACAUGACGGAACUGUUUAUUUUGCACAUGUAUAAUGUGUAUGGCACCAAAUGUUAGGUCGUCACAUUCUUUGUCAGUACCAGAAAUGGUAUGCAUGCACAUUGAACUGGCGUUUCCAAUGUUGGCAAAACCCAUCUGAUAUUCCCCAUGCCAGAUGAAUUCGUGCUGUUAAUGACAACUAAAGAUUCAUGCACAUAUAUCGUUUAUGUAAAAUUCGAAAAAGUCAGAUAUAUUGAUAGUUUCUCUACGUUCCUUGUAGUAUAUUUCUUGAUUCAAAAGAUGUUACUUUAUGGUGAUAACACAACGUUACACUACAAAUGAUAAAGCUAAAAUAGAACUUUAUUAUUGUGCAUCACUGAAAGGUCAUGACAUCACUUCUGCUCACAGACAUCUAUUUCUCGCACUUUACAAACUUUAAGAAAGAGUGCUACAAAGAAAGUAUUUCUAUUUGCUUUAUCUAUUUUUUUAUUUGUAAAAUACUGUGUGCAUGGAAACUAGUCUGUCAGAAUAUAAAACUUUUAUGUACAAGACAAGCAAGAAAAACCUUCAGUCAUGUGUUUAAAAUUCAGAUAGAAAUAUCCGUCCCUCGGCCACCUGAGCAUGGGUGCAUGGUAACGAGGAUUGUAGAGUUGCCGCCCAGUGUGCAGGUGCCCUCGGGAUGGAUAUUUCUAUCUGAUUCGUAUAAUAAAUGACAUAUAUCAUUAAUACAUCUUGCAGAAUAGUUCCAUUAAGGCACAAAUGAAAGAGAAAGCGUACAGCAAAUAACUAGCUCAGGGUAUGUGUAAAUUAAUCAAGAAAGUUGUGUUUUGUGAAGUUAAUCAAGAAAGUUGUGUUUUGUGAUAUUUUGUUUAAAAACAUGUUUUCUAAGUAAAAUAUUUUAUCAAAUUUGAA